rnacentral:rRNA from 1 species
CUACCCAUGAGCAGGAUGAAGCGAAAGUAAAAUUUCGUGGAGGUCCGAACCCACGAGCGUUGAAAAGCUCGGGGAUGACUUGUGGGUAGCGGUGAAAUUCCAAUCGAGCCCGGAGAUAGCUGGUUCUCCCCGAAAUAGCUUUAGGGCUAGCCUCAAGGUGAGAGAUACGGAGGUAGAGCACUGAAUGUCCUAGGGGGUAUUGCACCUACCGAAGACUAUCAAACUCCGAAUGCCGUCAUCUUAUACUUGGGAGUCAGACUGUGGGUGAUAAGAUUCAUAGUCGAAAGGGCAACAGCCCAGAUCGUCAGCUAAGGUCCCUAAAUGUAAGUUAAGUGGUAAAGGAUGUGGGAUUGCACAGACAACCAGGAUGUUGGCUUAGAAGCAGCCACUCAUUCAAAGAGUGCGUAAUAGCUCACUGGUCGAGUGAUCCUGCGCCGAAGAUUUCCGGGGCUAAAACUUACUACCGAAGCUACGGCAUCAGUAAUGAUGGGUAGGGGAGCUUCCCAUACGGGUUGAAGCAUGACCGUAAGGACAUGUGGACAGUAUGGGAGUGAGAAUGUUGGCAUGAGUAGCGAGAUGUGGGUGAGAAGCCCACAGGCCGUAAACCCAAGGUUUCCAGGGGAAGGUUCGUCCGCCCUGGGUUAGUCGGGACCUAAGCUGAGGCCGAAAGGCGUAGGUGAUGGACAACAGGUUGAUAUUCCUGUACUACCGAUAACCGUUUGAGAGAAGGGAUGACACAGUAGGAUAAGCUAAGCACACUGUUGGUUAU